ACGGGAGGCAGCAGUGGGGGAUAUUGGACAAUGGAGGAAACUCUGAUCCAGCGACGCCGCGUGAGUGAAGAAGUAUUUCGGUAUGUAAAGCUCUAUCAGCAGGGAAGAAAAAGCGCAAGCAUUGACUGUACCUGACUAAGAAGCCCCGGCUAACUACGUGCCAGCAGCCGCGGUAAUACGUAGGGGGCAAGCGUUAUCCGGAUUUACUGGGUGUAAAGGGAGCGUAGACGGUAAGGCAAGUCUGAAGUGAAAUGCGGGGGCUCAACCCCUGAACUGCUUUGGAAACUGUCCUACUAGAGUGCAGGAGAGGUAAGCGGAAUUCCUAGUGUAGCGGUGAAAUGCGUAGAUAUUAGGAGGAACACCAGCGGCGAAGGCGGCUUACUGGACUGUAACUGACGUUGAGGCUCGAAAGCGUGGGGAGCAAACAGGAUUAGAUACCCUGGUA
rnacentral:rRNA from 1 species